rnacentral:rRNA from 1 species
AGCAGCCGCGGUAAUUCUAGCUCCAAUAGCGUAUAUUAAAGUUGCUGCAGUUAAAAAGCUCGUAGUUGAAUUUCGGGACUAAUAUGUCGGUCGUGCCUCGGUACGUACUGGCAUCGUUGGUUUCUCCUUUCUGAAGAACCAUGAUGUCAUUUAUUUGGUGUCGUGGGGAAUCAGGACUGUUAACUUUGAAAAAAUUAGAGUGUUUAAAGCAGGCUCACGCUUGAAUACAUUAGCAUGGAAUAAUGAAAUAGGACGUUUGAUUCUAUUUUGUUGGUUUCUAGGAUCGACGUAAUGAUUAAUAGGGAUAGUUGGGGGCAUUAGUAUU